rnacentral:rRNA from 1 species
UGGGGAAUAUUGCACAAUGGGGGGAAACCCCUGAUGCAGCGACGCCGCGUGAAGGAAGAAGUAUCUCGGUAUGUAAACUUCUAUCAGCAGGGAAGAUAGUGACGGUACC